rnacentral:tRNA from 1 species
GCGCCCGUAGUUUAGCCCGGACAGAACGGCUGCCUUCUAAGCAGCAUGUCGCAGGUUCAAAUCCUGCCGGGCGCA